AUUCAUAUAGUUUAUAUAAAACAUUUUAUUUUCAUUAAAAAAAAGGCUUAAUUUAACCUAUGAAUU
rnacentral:tRNA from 1 species